rnacentral:misc_RNA from 1 species
GAUGAAGAACGCAGCGAAAUGCGAUAAGUAAUGUGAAUUGCAGAAUUCAGUGAAUCAUCGAAUCUUUGAACGCACAUUGCGCCCGCCAGUAUUCUGGCGGGCAUGCCUGUUCGAGCGUCAUUUCAACCAUCAAGCCCCCGGCUUGUGUUGGGGACCUGCGGCUGCCGCAGGCCCUGAAAAGCAGUGGCGGGCUCGCUGUCACACCGAGCGUAGUAGCAUACAUCUCGCUCUGGGCGUGCUGCGGGUUCCGGCCGUUAAACCACCUUCAUAACCCAAGGUUGACCUCGGAUCAGGUAGGAAGACCCGCUGAACUUAAGCAUAUCAAUAAGCGGAGGG